CCUACGGGAGGCAGCAGUGGGGAAUAUUGGGCAAUGGGCGCAAGCCUGACCCAGCAACGCCGCGUGAAGGAAGAAGGCUUUCGGGUUGUAAACUUCUUUUAAGAGGGAAGAGCAGAAGACGGUACCUCUUGAAUAAGCCACGGCUAACUACGUGCCAGCAGCCGCGGUAAUACGUAGGUGGCAAGCGUUGUCCGGAUUUACUGGGUGUAAAGGGCGUGCAGCCGGGAAGACAAGUCAGAUGUGAAAGCCCGCGGCUCAACCGCGGAACUGCAUUUGAAACUGUGUUUCUUGAGUACCGGAGGGGGCAUCGGAAUUCCUUGUGUAGCGGUGAAAUGCGUAGAUAUAAGGAAGAACACCAGUGGCGAAGGCGGAUGACUGGACGGCAACUGACGGUGAGGCGCGAAGGCGUGGGGAGCAAACAGGAUUAGAUACCCCUGUAGUC
rnacentral:rRNA from 1 species